CAUAGCAGGCUCUAAUAAAGUGUCAUUUUUGAACAAUCUGAUCAACUAUCAUACUAACUUUUGCACUGGAUCGAUUACUGAAUUAACUGGGGGCAUAUACAUCACAUAUAAACCGAGCAAAGAUUCUCACAGGUACUGGUGGUCAUACUUUGUACGCUGCCUGUCACCUCCUGGUAAGCUGAUCAAUCUUUUAGUGGCCUGAAAAGAAAAGAAUCAAGACUGUCGUCAGAUCAAGCAAAGGAACAAACGUUUAUCAUCACUUACACUUCUACAUUUACACAGAGUAGACUAGACAUGAUUGCAUUGACAUUUGACAUACCUUAAGAAGAGUUGGCUAGAGUUUGCCAUCCCAGGCGAAUUGA